rnacentral:lncRNA from 1 species
AGAUUCGCAAGCAAUUAAGUUCAAGUUCUGAAAAAGUGCAAGAUCUUAUCUUUGCUAGAUCUCUAUUCUCCGGGCCAGCCUCAGCUAAUCAUCGUAGUCUAGUAUUUGUUCAGCUCAGUUCUUUCAACUGUGGAGGCAUAGUAUUGAGUGUGUCUAUAAAUCACAGGAUUGCUGAUGCAUCCAGCGUAUCAACUUUCAUGAAUGAUUGGGCAGCAAUAGCUCGUCAAACGAGUGACAUCCCAUCUCCUCAUCUUCACGGAGCUUCUCUAUUCCCCCCUGUUGACGGUCAGCAAUAUCGACACCCAUUUCCUCCUAAGCCGGAUCAAGGGAAGUAC